UGCCUGAUCCAAAAUCUCCACCUCAGGCUGCUUUUAGAUUUGCAUGUCCCAAAAUAUCCCAUGCCUUUUGUUAUUUAAUAUUUAAACAUCCCCCCCUCCCUUUCCUCGUACUGUCUAAACAUGCCUAUCCUCCUCCAUCUUUCUCCCUUUCAGACACAAUUCUAACUCAAAAGCCCUAGCUAUCUUUGUUUUCUUUUUAAAAAAAAUUGCCCUAGCUAUCUAUACAGCUUUCUUGUUCAAAUAACCUAGACAGGAAUUGCUUUCUCCACAAGAUAUUUAUGCCACUAGGGCUAGGUUGCUUGUCGAUGGGUGACUAUACUAUGCCACUAUGCUUCAUGUGAUGGAUCAAUAAUUAAGAUCUAUAUUAUACUUCUUCCUUGCUUGUUUGUGUUUGAGUGUUGUAAUGCUUCAGAUACAAGCAUGGCCUACAAUAAUAGCCUUGCGAAAGAUAGUAAUUAGUUGUUUCUUGGAUAAUUAGAGUAGGGUUGUGUUCGAGGAUUGGUGGAAGAUAUGGAAGGGGCUCACUUCAGUCCAGUCCGAGUCGGUGAAAAAUGACUGAAACUCAGCUGCUGACUCGUUGGCUCGAGAGUUCACCAUUAAGAUAGAUUGAUGUUCGGCACUCACGCCAUGUAAUUAAGGUGGUGUGCUUCUGAUCCAACGAUGCGGGAGCUGCAUUCAGUCGUGACUGUCACGUCUUGGACUGAAGGGGCCUCUUCGUCUCCUACAUCCUUCACUCAUACAUACUUGCUUUUCUUCAGGAUAUUGUUUUCUUUUUAAUAGCUUAGUUAAUGUUAUUGUAGUGUACGCAGUUUUUGUGUGAAAUUUUCUAACAUAGAUACUAAGAGCCGAGCUAUAUAUUUACAGAAAAGUUCAAUUGAUUAAUUUUUGCAUUGUAGAAGAGCUGAAUGUUACAUUAUCUCCCUAUGUGAAAUUGAGAAAACCUGGGUGGUCCAAAGUUUAAGAUUGGAACCUACUAUUGUAAAGGAGCAAUAUCUCCAACGGCUGAUGGGAGAAGUGGAGGCAAAGUCGAACUUUCUAGUGCAAGAUCUGCUUAAUGUAGGACAAUGUCAAAGUGGUACUUUUGAGAUUCUUCAAACACAAAUCCCCAGCUGUUGAACAAGACCUGAAUUGAAAGCAGAUUGCAUCACGAGAAUUAAUGUCAACCAUGUUAUAAUUCCAUACAGAUUAAAUUAAUGUUAGCUAUACUCUUUGGGGGUGGUUACUGGUCAGUGUAUAAUUGCUUGAUCGGAAAUGUUCAGUGAAUCCAAUUUGUUUAUAUAUAAUUAAUUUGUCAUUGCUCUACUGAACUCAAGUUGUUGAGUUAACUGCAAACAUGAAAAUCUAAUAUGUUUGGUAGCAUUUUAUUUCUUCUUGUGACUAAAAGAGGUCUAAUAAAAGACCAUAAGAUUGUAGUAGGUGAAGCCUUGACUUCAGUUUUGCUUGCCUGCAAGUAAGUUGAAGGGAACUGCUGAAGGAAACCAUCAGUUCUAAGGAGUAGCCAGGAGAAGCAGGAGCUUAACCUCUGCAAGCCCUUUUUUUUUCUUUCUUUGUCUACAAUCAAUCAAAAGAACUUGAUGAUUUC